GACGAACGCUGGCGGCGUGCCUAAUACAUGCAAGUCGAACGCUUCUUUCCUCCCGAGUGCUUGCACUCAAUUGGAAAGAGGAGUGGCGGACGGGUGAGUAACACGUGGGUAACCUACCCAUCAGAGGGGGAUAACACGUGGAAACAGGUGCUAAUACCGCAUAACAGUUUAUGCCGCAUGGCAUAAGAGUGAAAGGCGCUUUCGGGUGUCGCUGAUGGAUGGACCCGCGGUGCAUUAGCUAGUUGGGGAGGUAACGGCUCACCAAGGCCACGAUGCAUAGCCGACCUGAUAGGGUGAUCGGCCACACUGGGACUGAGACACGGCCCAGACGCCUACGGGAGGCAGCAGUAGGGAAUCUUCGGCAAUGGACGAAAGUCUGACCGAGCAACGCCGCGUGAGUGAAGAAGGUUUUCGGAUCGUAAAACUCUGUUGUUAGAGAAGAACAAGGACGUUAGUAACUGAACGUCCCCUGACGGUAUCUAACCAGAAAGCCACGGCUAACUACGUG
rnacentral:rRNA from 1 species